UCCAGGUAAAGAGUACCCACACAAUCCAUUCUAAUCUCUCAGCUGUACUGAGGUGGAAAAAUAAUAUUUGGGGUAACUUUCACCUGAAUCUCUCCUGCAAGAUGCCUGAGAACGUUUUUGGCUUGAAGCUUCUAUCUCAGUAUAUUGCUCCUGCAACAAUGAUUGAGAGCUUCUCCAUUUGAUGAAGCUUUGAAUGAUCCUAGAUCCAAUUUCCUCUUUGAAACUGGGCAAAUGAAUUCCAAGAAAUAUACCAUCAUCAACAUUACCACCAUCAUCACCAUCAAAAUAACGAAGAACCAUGUUUAAGCCACCUUUACACAGAAAGAUUUUAAUGGCUGCUAUCGAGGGUGCUGACCCAAAGACAACACAGAUCUCAGUGGAAUUGAUGGAUUUGCCAUGCACAUCUUUCAGACUCAAGCAAUUAAACUCUUUCCUAAAGUGAAAUAGGCAGACAAGAAUCUGCUCCCCGACACAGUUGACUGCAGGCAGAGCCUGAGGAGACCUGACCACAGCAACUUCCCUGGCUGCAAGCGCAUGGGUAAGGAUACUGAUUUGCAGGGUGUGUGCACCAGAGAAGGAGAGUUACAGUACCAUAAGUUGAAUGAGAAACAGGAGAGAGUUUCUUAAGCCAAGAACUCCCUAGAAAGACAGGCCUGAGGGUGUGAGCAAGGAAAGUUCAUGCUGUUGUUUAUUUCUACAAAGGUUUCUUUCAAACAAGGUCAUGCCAAGAAUUUACAUUAUUUCCCAAGUCAAUUCAUCUUCCUAGUUAAAACAAACCUGCAAAAUGUGCAUGUUGACUAGUGAUUCAGGCUACGUUUUGCUCAGGUACAGCAAUUUCCAUCUUCUGCUUUAUGAGAAAAUAGGACUUCCAGUAUUCCACUCCUAUGUGUCUUAGACCAUCUGCAAAUUUAAAUAGCUGUAUGUUUCUGUAUAAGGAAAUCCAUGGCCAGCGAAACAUAUGUGAUUCAAUAAAGAGUAGAAAAUCAUAAGUUGGAGACACGCUGCUGGUGUUUGAAGA